rnacentral:rRNA from 1 species
UACGUAGGCAGCAAGCGUUGUUCGGAUUUACUGGGCGUAAAGGGUUUGUAGGUGGCUUGUUAAGUCAGACGUGAAAUCCCUCAGCUUAACUGGGGAACUGCGUCUGAUACUGAUGAGCUUGAGUGCAGGAGAGGAACGCGGAAUUCCAGGUGUAGCGGUGAAAUGCGUAGAUAUCUGGAGGAACACCGGUGGCGAAGGCGGCGUUCUGGACUGCAACUGACACUGAGAAACGAAAGCCAGGGGAGCAAACGGG